AACAUGAUAAUGGAGUGUCCACAUGGUCAACAAUGAUGAUGGGGUAGAUGUUGCUGCCCUCUUAAUGGUUGCAUGGUUGAUGCAUUAUGAUGUCAAUAAAAACACCUGCAAUAGCCAGGAGCUCAGACAGAGCUCCAUGGCUGGCUAAAAGAGUGACAUGAGGAGAACAGCAGAGCAAGCAGAAAACAACAGAUGGACAAGCCCUCUAGCACUGCUACUUUUUCAUAGUCCAAUCAACAAGACAAUAUUCAUCACUGUUUAAAUGUAUAGGGCACUGUCAUCUCACAACAAGACAAAAGAUGUUUGCAUUUUCUCAUGUCCUGCACAAGGGUCAACAAAGUUAGGAUUUGCACUUCUAUACUUCCCAUGUCAAUUAUCCAAACAGAAGACUGUGGCCAAGUCCACAAAGGCCAAGUAAAGUGGACUCAUCUUGCAACGGUUGAAGGAAGUCUCCAUGACAUAUUGCUCGGUUUUCAGCAGGCACUUGAUCUGGCACAAGGAGAAGUGGAAUGUAUUCUGGAACUUCCAAGGAACUCUGGAAUGUUCCCAAUGUUUUGGAGGUGUUCUCUGGAUUGGACUGAAUCCAGUCUCUACAUGAACAAUGGAUCAAUCACUGGAGUCAGUGUUACCUGACUCCAAACCUGAGAAAGUGGGUGAAAGGGGGUAAAAGACAGGGAAAGACAGAAAAAGGAUGCCUAUUCCAGAAGAUUGGAAAAGACUGUAGGGAAAGGGGUAAGACGGUUUCACCCUGCUCAUAUGAUGAAGUCCUAAAUAGGGCCAUGUAACUAACAAACUGUGUGAAAAACA